UCUUUGUCUAAACGUGACAUCGGCAGGCACACGCGUCUAUGUGUGUUGCACUAUUUGUGAGAUGAACUAUCCAGCGUAGAUAUCAGAGGUCUAGACAUGUCUGGGUUUCGACUGUCUGUAGAUAUGAACAGGAGUGCGAACGAACCGCUGCUUGUUUCGGUAUGCCCGUCGUCGCUGAAGGCCACUUCGCUGCUACGUAUUACGAGAAUACGUGCAGGAGAGACUGAGAGAGAAGUUUAGCAUGUCACGUGAUCACAGCCUUCCUCGGCCACAGUGACUGUUGGAGCGUUUCAUUGUUGUCUGCCAGCAUGACCGUUUGUUUCUGCUGGCUACGCCUUCGGGUAUCGCUGUAGUAUUGCAUUGAAGCGGCUGUAUUAUCAAGGCUAUGGUAGAUGCUUGAGGAUAUCAGAUGCAAGUUCUUCAGCUCAAUUUGACGUUGGUCUGGCUUGUCCUUACUGCUCUCGUUUCAUAAAGGAAACAUGUGUCAAUCUUUACUUCUUGCCAAGCAGUGGGGGAUCGAGAGAUGCUUUUGAACACGACAGUGUACGUAUUCUUCCACUAGCCACAAGUGGACAGACAGGCAACAGAACUGAUUUGGGCGAAGAUGCUGUUAAUUAAGCGGUUUGAAAGAUGUCCAACUUUGUAUUGCAACACUCGUGAGAUGCCAUGAACACACAGUAAUGUAGAAAGGCUACAGAUCAGUCAAACUUGAUCGUUUGUACAAUGUGCAGCAGGAGAGUAUGGCAAGCACUGGCCCCCUGUAUACUGGUGGAGGAGCAGGAUUAUUGGUUUGGUGUAGUGGUUUCUGAUGAUGUGCUUGGACUGAUUGCUGAUCAGCUAAUGAGCUAGUACAGUCCUGUACUGUCAAGAUACUUACGGUAUCUUUAGUGGUGUCGACUGUCAAGAUGCUUACAGCUAUCAAUGAGAUGCGACAACAAUGAGAUAGAACGUAGGAAUCGAGUGUUAACUCGAGGGGCUGCUGCAGGGACAUAAUGAUGUCUUAUGAUUCCAACUCUUUAUUAGCACUUCACAUCUUCAGGCUAAUCACUGAGAUAAUCGGUCUAGCCUUUGUGUGUGCUGCUUAUAUCUGAGUGCAUCUCAAGGUGUUUUGCUGCUAACAACAGAGUGAUGGACUUCUCUCACUCAAAUUAGUCAAUCUGAUGAUCAUGUGUGUUGUUAGAAAGGGUUUCUUGUACUAUGGAGUUUGUGGUGGAAUUAGUGCUUGAAAGGAUCUCUAGUUGUGUUCUGAAUAGAUCACACUAUGUGCAGUCAGAGUGUAAGUGGGGCGACGAGUUGUUGGAGGGUCAGCGAUUUCCACAGCCUUGGUUAAUAGUGGUUUACGUAAAAAGGAUAUUUGUGUGUUUAUACACGUGUGUGUGUGUGUGUGUG